UACUGCAGCUUAGCAAUGCUUCUGUGU
rnacentral:piRNA from 1 species